rnacentral:lncRNA from 1 species
UCUGCACGGCGAGGUAGCUGCCACCACGAAUUCGAUCGAUCUCUUUGCAUUUCUCUGCUGCAGAGCUCAGUAUUUAUCAUCGUCUGAAACUUUGCACAAUCCAAGUAGCAAGUAACGAACAAUGGAUCUGAAACAGUUAGUUGCUAGCCUGGAUGCUGAUGAACUGCAUGCACUGGACUCUGUCACGCAGGACGGCCGGCUGCUGUGCGAAUCGACGGCAACCUACGGCGAUGGCCAGGAGGCCGGGAACGAGGCGGACUACAUCGUCGGCAUGUCGACGUGCUACCCGAAGCCGGGCGCCGUGACGGUGCGCGACGGCGAGGUCCUGACCGUGGUGUCCAAAUACAGCAGCCACCAGCAGCACACCGGAGUGAUGGGCCUCGUCUACAUCCUCGUCGCCGAGCACGGGCAGCCGCAGCCGCAGCAGCUGCCGGC